rnacentral:rRNA from 1 species
AAAUUGAAGAGUUUGAUCAUGGCUCAGAUUGAACGCUGGCGGCAGGCCUAACACAUGCAAGUCGAACGGUAACAGGAAGCAGCUUGCUGCUUCGCUGACGAGUGGCGGACGGGUGAGUAAUGUCUGGGAAACUGCCUGAUGGAGGGGGAUAACUACUGGAAACGGUGGCUAAUACCGCAUAAUGUCGCA